UUUAGAUCUAGUCAAAAGUUUUCUUCCUUGCAAAGAACUUUGAAGGUUCUUACCAAACAAUGGCGAAGAAAGCUGUGUUGAUCGGGAUCAACUAUCCAGGAACUAAGAUAGAACUAAAAGGCUGCGUCAACGACGUUCACCGGAUGCACAAGUGCCUCGUUGACCGGUACGGGUUCUCCGAGGAAGACAUCACGGUGCUGAUCGACACCGACGAUUCUUACACGCAACCCACAGGCAAAAACAUCCGUAAUGCCUUGUCUGAACUCAUAACGCCAGCAAAGUCCGGUGAUGUUCUGUUCGUGCAUUAUAGUGGACACGGUACGAGGGUCCCACUGGAAGAAGGGGAGGAGGAUGAAACAGGGUUUGAUGAGUGUAUUGUUCCUUGCGACAUGAAUCCAAUCCCUGAUGAUGAUUUCAGGGAGUUAGUGGACCAGGUUCCCCCAGGGUGUAAGAUUACGUUCGUAUCAGACUCUUGUCACAGUGGUGGACUCAUCGAUGGAGCCAAGGAACAUAUUGGAGAGAGCACCAAUAAGAACCGAAACCAAGAACCAAAAGCUUACUUUUUCGAACUCGAGAUAUGGAACUUCUUUUAUAGCGUGUUGAUGAAGUUUCUUGCGCUUUGUGGGAUCUGGAGAUCUCAGGAAGAACAAGACAAGAUUGAGAUCACAGCGAGAUACGAAGUUGGCAAAUCAAGGUAUCUGCCAAUGGAGAGCUUCAUCAACGUUCUCAAAGAGAAAACUGGCAAAGACAACAUCGAGAUUGGUAAAAUCAGACCGACCCUUUUCGAUGUGUUCGGUGAAGAUGCGAGUCCCAAGGUGAAGAAGUUCAUAAAAGCGAUGCUCACCAAGCUAGAUCAAAGUGGUUUAGUUGAGAGUGGUCGUGAGAUCUAUAGAGGAGGAUCAAGCAGUGGAUUGGUUCCAGACAGAGGGAUACUGUUGAGUGGGUGUCAAACGGAUGAGACAUCAGCAGAUGUGAAGAAGAGUGGAGAAGCUUAUGGAGCUUUUAGUAACGCGAUUCAGAUGGUUUUGUCGGAAGGUGGUGGGGAGAAAGAUAAGAUCACCAAUAGGGAACUGGUUUUGAGAGCAAGAGAGAUGCUGAAAGAACAAGGGUUUACUCAGAGACCAGGAUUGUAUUGUAAUGACCGUUUUGUGGAUGCUCCGUUUAUAUGCUAACUAUUGUCUUCAUUCAAAACUGUUUUUGCUACUGAUGGUUGUGAAAGUUUUUGUUCGACAUGGUGUGAACACAGAGUAUAUAUUCCUAGGUAUUGGUUCACUCAUGUGGGGGCAGUUAACAAUAAGUGGUUCACAAACAGCAGAAGAAGAUAGAGAGUAAUUAGAGCAUCGUUGUGUGCUCAAAAAAAAAAAAAAAAAAAAAAAAAAAUUAGAGCAUCGUUAUCCCACCCCACGUACUCGUUUAGGAGUUCUUAAUCUUUUUUUUAAUAAUUUUUAGUGGAAAAAAAUGAGUUUAAGAGACUUAGUUAAGAGAUGAACAUAUUUGUGUGUCCAUUGCAAGUUUCUUAUUUUCGGGUUCUUAAAAAAAAUAUUACAUUAUUUUUUUUUUAAACUUCAAAUUUAUUGAUUAAAUUAUUAAACAUAACAUUUUGAACAUAGAUUUUUAAAUAAAAAGAUAAAACCAAAGAUUAGUAAAAUAAACGAGAAUUAUUUGGAAGAAGUCGGAGCUUAAGAAACAUAACAUAACAUUGAACUAGGGUUCACUACAAAGUGUCAAUCCCAUUGUCCAAGAUCAAUGGAGUGAACCAGAGUGUGAACACAAGAAGCCAUGUCAGAACUACCUAGAAGUAGUCACGGUGGAUGGCUUUGAUUUCUGGUUUAUGGGUUUCUUGAGCUACAAGAAAGCGUUCAACUGUCUAGAGCAAGCGCUUUAUCUGAGCAUGGAGCUAUAACAAGCCUAAGCUGAAGGGGAAAUAUUUAACUUCUAAUUAGGAGACAAUAUUGUACAACCAAGAACCUUUGUACUGAUGUCUUUUGUCCCCUGUUGUGACCUGUUUGGCUUGAAGUCGUGACAUUACAACCAAGAGAGGAUAAGUUGUGACUGUUGCUCCAAGUUUAGCCACAGCUCCAAGAAGAAAUGUCUAUGUGACUGUUGCUCCGAGUUUAGCCUCUUUCCUAAAACUUCAACACACAGAAUACAAAUCAAGAAUAUGUCACAUGUGACGCCGCGGUUCCAGCGAGACGGAGCCAAUCCACCGUAUAAACGCUCCCUCUUAUUUCACAACCUUUCAAAUACAAAUCAAGAACUUGUCAUGCAAUCCAAAGGCAACUCGAAGAUCAUUUCAAAAAUCUUCGAACAUUCAUAAGAAAAUCCAGUAAUCAAUUCUCUCAGACUCUCUCUCAAGCGCAAUACACAAUCUCAAAACUAACCUGGCACAUGUGUUCGAUAGUUCCAAGCUUCCUCUUCCCCCUCUUGAUAUCACGCUCCGUCUGUUGCCGCGUAUUUACCUAAUUUCAACAAACAAACACCAUCGAAGAUUAUCAUCAACAAGGAAGAUCACAGAGAAAUUGGCCGUGAGAACGCAAAAAUAGAAUCGUUACAGUUUGGAGAGGAUAAGUGAGGAGUUGAGCGAUGAUCCCACCCCCAGCUCCAGCCAUCCAUUUAUCAGAGUGUCCGACAUGGUUUCUGUGAAGACGAAGGGAGGAGAGCAGAUCCAGAUUAACCUCCGAUUCAAAUUGAAAUCCACCUCCACUCGUUACAAGACUCGCACUUCCGACACACUGGACUCCAUCGCCGGCUCUGUGAGGAGAUCGUCGUCGACGAAAUCGAAGAAGGGAGAGAGACAGGGGUUGCUUCUGAACACCCACAACACAACACGUGUCCGUGUCUGGUCUCUUCCUUCCCCUAAUUAAGAUACGUUUCUUUUUAACUAACCCAAUUUUUUUUUUUUAAAUUCAACUAAUGCUAACGUACGGCAAUUGCAUACUGUGAUAAUGAUGCUCUUAGUGCCACCGUAAAUGAAUGUUAAUAUAUAUAUAAAUAUAUAUAUAUAUAUAUAUAUUUAUUAUUCUAAUUUCAGUUUAUAUGAUUAUAAAUUAUUUUAUUAUAUAACUAUAUUUUAGCACAAUUUUUUAUCAGUAAAAAUAAAAAAUUAUGUUUUAGUUAAUUUGAUCAAAAUGAGAAAAACAAAAUAACCUUUUUAACUUAGAGCAAAAUAACAAAUUAUUAAAAUAAUUAAUUGUGAAGAUCAUAUAAUAAUUUAUGUAUAUAUUAUUACUUCUUUUAUAAAAUUUGUACUAAUAUAUUUUAGUUAAUCGGUUUAUUCGGUUGAAACAGUUAAAAUACCAAAUAUAUUCAUAUACUGUAAUUUCUUAAAAAUAACGUCCAUUCGGUUUAUUCGGUAUUACCAAAUUUCAACCAAUUUUUCUAUUUCGGUUUUGGUUUAAUUGAUUCGGUUUUACCGGAUUAAACGCCAUUAGCAACGCUUUGGAUCUACGGAGUGAUUAUAGUAUGAUUAUGUACGUAUAUUGAUCUAUCAAAUAUAAUUUAUGUUUUUCAUAUAUAUAACAUUUUAUUUUUUUGUUGUGCAUCACCAUGCGUCGUAUCCUAGUCUUUGUUGAAACAAAGUUCUCAAGGCACGCCUCCAAGGAUUCCUAAAGAGUUUGCAGGACUUCCUUUUAUGCGAGAGAUUGAUCUGUCUAGAAACUAUCUCAACGGUUCCAUUCCUCCUGAAUGGGGAACCUUGCAACUUAUAAAUCUCCAACUGCUUGCAAACCGGAUAAGCGGUCCAAUCCCAAAAGAGAUUGGAAACAUUACAACCCUUAAGAAUCUAAUCAGAUCUCAGGGAAAUUACCUCAAGAACUCGGGAAAUUAAAGAACAUUCAAAGAAUCAUUCUUAGCUCGAACUACUUGACUGGAGACAUCCCAAGUACAUUUUCCAAACCUACUGCGUUGACUGAUUUACGUAUAAGUAACAACAGUUUACCGGAACUAUACCAGAUUUCAUCUAGAACUGGACAGAACUUACAAAACUGGUUAUUCAAGCAAGGGGUUUAGUUGGACCGAUUCCUUGCGCCAUUGGUACUCUUGUGAAGUUAACAGACUUGAGAAGACCUAGUUCUCCAUUUCCACCCAAAACAUGACAUCCAUGCAAACAUUCUUUGUAUGACCUUCAUAUAAACUGUGGGGGUGAUGAACUAACAAUCAGCGGGACUAAGUACGAAGCCGAUAAUUCUGAUAGCAUCUACGAUGACAGUAGAACAACUUGGGUUUCUAGCAACACCGGGCGCUUCUUGGAUGUUGAACGUCAUCUCAAAGUACCAACCAUAUGGACUAAUACAUCAGAGCCUAGUAGUCUUUAUACAGAUGCCCGUCUCUCGGCCAUUUCCCUCACUUACUAUGCGUUUUGUCUUGGAGAAGGAAGUUAUACCGUUAAUCUUCAUUUCGCUGAAACUGUGUUCAGUGGUGACACUAUAACGUAUAGCAGUUUGGGGAGACGAUUCUUUGACAUUUAUGUUCAGGGUAAACUUGAGGUUAAGGAUUUUGAUAUUGUGAGUGAGGCAAAAGGUGCUGGAAGAGCUGUGGUUAAGAGUUUUCAGGCCAUGGUUACAAAUGGGACGUUGGAGAUAAGAUUGUUUUGGGCGCUCAAGCUAUUCCUGUAAGUGGUUCAUAUGGCGCUCUCAUAUCAGCUGUAUCCGGAUUUCACUGGUGGUGGAACCUCUAUUGGCAUAAUAGUAGGCGCUUCGUUGGUGUUUCUUGUGCUCUUCAUGGUUGGCAUUUUAUGGUGGAGAGGUUGCUUGAGACCCAAGAGUCAGAUGGAGAAAGGUGUUUAAUAACGAUUUAUACCUUUUAACAAUCCUUUUUUGAGUUGAAAGUCUAUGUAUCUUCCAAGAGCACUUUUCGGUCCUCUAGAGACUCGAAUACAACUAGACUGGCCGAUAAGGCAGAAGAUUUGCGUUGGAAUAGCCAGCGGAUUAGCUUACCUCCACGGGGAAUCAAGACUCAAGAUCGUGCAGAGAGACAUCAAAGCCACUAAUGUCUUGCUGGACAAGGAACUAAACCUGAAGAUUUCGGAUUUCGGUCUUGCUAAGCUUGAUGAAGAGGAAAACACACACAUGAGCACACAAGCCGCAGGAACAUAUGGAUACAUGGUUCCAGAGUAUGCAAUGAGAGGUCACUUGACAGAUAAAGCAGACGUCUACAGCUUCGGCGGCGUCGUGGCUCUUGAAAUAGUUCAUGGAAGAAGCAGUACGAGCGCACAAUCCGUCUACCUCCUAAUUGAUUGGUUAAGACCACUAUUUUAGGGAUCAUAAGGGAAGGUUUCAUCUCUCGCUAUGCGUGUUCGGUUAAUCUUGAUUUCUGCCACAGUUACAUGUUCCAAGGGAGCAAAACAAGCUGAUGGAAGUAGUAGCCCCGAGGCUUGGAACAGAUUACAACAGGGAAGAAGCAAUGAUGAUGAUAUAUAAAUUUUCAUAAAAUGUUGAUCUGUCCCGUUCCGUCUCGUACCGCAGCGGGUUCGUCUUCGAGCGGGUCACGGCGGGUCAGGCCCGCACGGGCUGCGGUCCUCAAAAUGGCUGACCAAACCCGUACCGCAAAACAUGUAGGCCUUUGCGGAUCGACCCGCAGGACAUAGAAUUACAAACGAACAUAUGGCUCCUAAACGCUUCAAGACAUGAUUCAGGACGCUUUAUCAAUUUCAUAACGCAUCAGUAAGUGAGUUUAGUCGAGGAUUGAACUGGAUAUGGCAAAACCCUUGUUAGUUGGAUUUUAGUUGGAUCAAAACACUAGUUUAUUUACUUUUGUUAGACUCCAAACAUUUUUAAAAUAAACAAUACUUUAGUUGUUGAAUCCAAAUAUUAUAAAUCAUAAGUUCAUAAUAAAUGCUUUAGUUUUCUGAAUCCAAAAUUAAAUAAAACCAACACCAAAUCAAGGAUGCUAAUCCCAAAAAUAAAUAAAAAGAAAACACCAAUCACACUUCUUGUUCUUCAUCUUUGUCACCAACAAGCGACAAAAAGAUGGAAAUUUCUCUUCUUCACCAUCAACUUCAUCUUCUGCAAAUAAGAAUAAUAGAAGUUAGUUAAAGAUAUAUUGAAACCUAAAACUCCAAAAUGUAUGAUAAUGUGAACAAAUACAUAUAGGCAAAACUAUGAAGAACCCAUGGCGGGAACUAGAUCUUCUUCUUCGGUGGAAAGUGAGUUUUCAAACUUCUUAUGAUGACUCGAAGAAGCUCCACCGGUGCAGAUUGAAGGCGUUUGGGAGACCAGAAGCAUCAUCGACCCUGAAACCACCAUCACCGGAGCUACAUAACGUCGAAUCACCUUCUUUCUCUCUCUCUCUCUCUCUCUCUCAAUGUUUUAGGCGAAAGCAGAAAUGGGGACUUAGGGUUGCGGGUCUUCAAAAUCCCGCAGGUUAAACCCAUCCCGCUUUCGACCCGUCCCGCUUUCGACCCGUCCCGCUUUGAACCCGUCCCGCGAGGUCCGCAAAUUUGCGGGCUUACCAAAUGAAGGUCCAAUCCCGCCCUGUAGCAAGUCUUUACGGGCCAGACCCGCGGUCCAGGUCCUUGAUUGCUAUCCCUACUAAUGGUUGUGAAAUUUUUGUGGAUGCUCCGUUUAUAUGCUAACUAGAGCGUAUUGUUUUCAUUCAAAACUGUUUUUGCUACUAAUGGUUGUCAAAAAAAUUGUUCGUCAUGGUGUGAACACAGAAUAUAUUUGGUCACAAAGUCAUUUUCUUACCCAUAUAAUAAGAUCUUCGGUGUAUAUCAUACAGUUUUGAACAUUCCUGGGUCUUGGUUCAGUCAUGUGGGGGCAGCUAACAAUAAUAAGUGGUUCACAAACAACAGAAGAAGAUAGAGUAAUUGGUGCUGCAUUAAAUGAUAGUUAAUAAAAAUAGUAGUUGGGUGUCUUUCAGAGUAGCCAUCUCAAAGAAGAAGAAGAAGAACAAGAGAAAUGUCUACGGGUAUGGGAAGUGGAAAAGGCAAAAGCCGUCCAUCACCGUCCGAUCCUUCAAUCUCAGUUUCCGACAAGAUAAACGCCACCAGGGAGAAGUACGCUCUCAUCCCUGACCGCUUCUCUUCCCUUGACCAGUGUUUUUAUAAAAGGUAUCAAAAGCUCUGAGAGAAGCUGGUCUUGAAUCAUCUAAUCUCAUUCUUGGAAUUGAUUUCACUAAGAGCAACGAAUGG